GGCAUCAUAGCCUGAUCCCAGAUCAAUUUGUGCUUUUGCCUUUUGUCAUUGUCAAGCAAAACGGUUUGGCCAUGACAGAGUGGAAAGUUAGUUAAAGAGGUUCUGGAUUUCAGGCUAUAGGCUUCAUGCAUCAACUACUUCAUUGAUGGCUGAAUUCUAUUAUCAUUUUUUUUUAUAGCAAAUCUUGUAAAUUCAUGUUGUAUAUUUUUACCAUACAAAUGGAGAAAAUUGCAUUUGUUAAUCUGACCCCUCAGUUUCAUUGGGUUACGGUUAUGACCUGGCUGCCAGUUCCAUUUCCAAGGCCUGAGUGCUGGGCAACAAACAAUUGGGAGGAAAACUAUAGACAUUUUGUUAUUUUGAACAUUUCCUGCAGUCUCUAUAACUUGUUAAAGUUGACUAUUGUACAAAGUAUGUUGAAAAGCUGGGGAAUCAUGCUCCACUCACACCAAACAAUGGUUGUUCAAAUCUAGGCUAUUAUAAUCAAGUUAUAUAGCUUAGUAUGUUAUAGCUGUAGAAAGGUAGCAGCUCAUAAGAUCAAAAGGAUGAGAAUGUUUGUUCAGGCAGUUUGUCUUGUUGAUUUUGUUAAGUGGGAGAGAAAAAAACGGCACUUAUGCUGUUGGGAAAUUUCGUAUUAAUAUUUUUGAGUAUCAAAUAAAUUCUCAACAAAAGAUGUAACAAGCUGCUAGAAUCAAGGGCGUAUCUAAACUUGUAUUUACGGUAUUUCACCGGCCCGCCCAACCUCGUCAGCUGUCCGGAACUAAUCAAAAGAAAACUUCCGGAGGAGGUGAAGAGGUGUGAAAAGGUGAAGCCACCAUCUGAUAACAAAGAAGAUGUUCACUGUAGCCUUCUCUUCUCACAUAACAGUAGGAACAAAGUAGAUUUUUUCUUGUAGUCUACUUGGUAACUAUGUCUCACGAACUCGCUUUUCGUUGUCGUGUCACCUCCAUUAUGGAAGCUUUGACAGCAACAGUCGUGCAAGAAAUAAGUCAAUUUAUGGGAGAAAGCUAUGCUGCUCUUCGAGUGGAAAUGUUGCAUGAACAAAAUAAAAAAGAGACAAGGAUGGAGAAGCCAGCGAACUGCCUUAAGAACGUUUCAAAACCUGUUAUCCCACCAAGUUUGGGAAACUUUCCAAUCGUGGGGCAAAUCCUCAAUAAACAAGAGGCCAACUAUCAUUGGCUAGAAGACGGUGCUGUUUUUGAAGGCCUAGCAUCACCGGAGACGGAGACGGAGAGACGAGAGCCAUCACAGCCCGCUGGUCAGAUUACAGACACGGUACCAUGGCCAGUAUGGCUCAUCAAACAGGAGGAAAUGGCUGAUGAUGAUCUGGAAUCGGAAGGUUACGGCGAGUGGAUUCCAGAGACUCACAAGGCCAACCAGAAUAUCAGGGGAGAAAGUGAUGAGGACGAGAGAAGUCCGGCCUCUGGGGGAUCCAAAGAACUUGGACUCGACGACUUCAAGAGAGAACAGAGUCCGUUGCUGGUGUCAGCUGAGGAUACUGCGACACCCAUGAAGACAAAGUAUGAAACACGCAUGUUAAAACGCACUGGGAAGCCACGUUUUCGCUGCGAUAUCUGCGGUGAGAAAUUCCAGCGUCAGAGCGGCUUGACCAGGCACCAGCGGCACAAACACAACACCGUGAAAACCUACAGUUGCACUGUGUGUGGGAAAGGGUUCACCUACAUCAAAUCCCUCAACACGCAUGAGCUCAUGCACUCUGACCUCUCUAUCCGUUCAACUAUAACUCUGGAUGAAGCCAAGGCAAGGAAAAGAGGUCUGACUGAUGAACCCACAGACAGAAAUGCAGCAGGAGAUGUGAGUUGUGUAGAAUGUUGCCCAUUACCAGUACCUUGAAGAUGCUUGACUGAUCAAAGUUUCUAUUGUUUUGAUGUGUUUUUCUAGAUGAUCAGUGCCAUCCUUCACUCAAAGCCAGGUGGAGAAAAGGUAUUCCGGGAGUAUAGGAACACCAAAGGUCUUACAGAUAGCACACGGAGACUGAUGGUGAACAUUAUUGUGGCCGACAUGAUGGAAAAUCAUGGGUACGUAUGUUGACAAAUGGUAUAUUUAACAGUGUAUGAUUUGUCAUACUUAAAGGUAUUAGUCACCCCAAAAUGAAAGUCUGCUCAAUGAUUUCAGACCUUAAAAGCAGACUGUCAAUAUACUGUAUGUCCACAUCCCACACCAUUGCUUGAUAGAUUUUUGUUGCCAAUUCUUUCUGUUCAUUUUGAGGUAUUGUUUGUAUAUCUACAAACCAAUGGUUCAGAAUGGAAACAUGGCUUGACAGUAGUGUACUUUUGAGGUAUGAAAACAUCUUAAAAGCUUUCAUUUUAGGGUGCCCUUUGACACCAGCUCCAUUACUGUGGCAUUGUGAUUUUAGGUGGAUCUGAAACACCAGUCGUGCAUGCAUUCCCUGUAGAGUACCAGCCUGUCUGUUAAUACUGAGGGGGUUUCCCCAGAACCAUCCCUCAGCUUUAGAUCAAAACAUGUAGUGGGGCUUCAGUUUUGCUGAGAAAUGAAUCACUGAUUAUCGCUUUUACUAGAAUUGUUGGUACUUUAUUUUAUCUUCCUCAAAGUAGGAUCCCCCCAUCAAGUGUCCGCACCAACUACGCCCUGGGGAUUGUGACUUUAUUCCCCUACUUGAAUGAUCCAGAUUCAGAGCAUGGUUAUGUAAGUAUGAACAGAGGACUGAAUUCUCUCAGGGGAUACCAGGCCUACAGUUCCAGGAUGUUAAAUUAAAUGGUGUUGAUCAUUUUGAACUGUUUUCUUUUUGGUUGACAGGAACAAUAUUACGACGCAGCUAGUGGUUCAGGUUAUCUGACCUGGAGAAUAAAGACAGUGGGGCGCAACAAAUCAUGUAAGAUCAAGAGGAGAACCAAGUCCACCUACCAAAAUGGUCCCAAGGCUCAACCCAGUUCCCCUUCAGCUGUUGAGGAACUGUUAGGUGAUGAAUGCAAAGACACAGCUAAGUUCCUCCUGCACGGUAUUAUCCCAAUUCUUUGCUAAAGGGUCCAUCACAAUACCCACAUCUUAUUUUCACUCAUCUGUUAUCAGUUGAUCGAGACAUUUGGUAAAUCAUUGUUGGAUUGUUUUUGUAAUGUCCAUCAGAUUCUAGUUAGAGCUCUUUAGCAAAUGGUGGUAAUGGUAGGGAGUUUUUUUUAGCUGAAUUUUCCCUGAAAGUUACAUCUUUGUAAUCUUUCAGACGAGCAAGUGUCCAUGUCUGAGGUCUCUAUCUGCUCAGUUGGGUCUGAUUCCUCUGGAUCAGCUUUAACUCUGGAGAAAACGAAGGCAAGAAAAAGACGUCUGACUGAUGAACCUACAGACAGAAAUGCAGCCAGAGAUGUGAGUUGUGUAAAAUGUUGCGGUUAGCGCAACUACUAGCGCGUUAGUGAUAUUACUUUAAAACACCUGCAGCUGUUUCUGUUCCGCCUAUUUACAUACCCUUGUCUUCUUGCCCAUUACCAGUACCUUGAAGAUGCUCGACUGAUCACAAGGCUUCUAUUGUUUUGAUGUGUUUUUCUAGAUGAUCAGUGCCAUCCUUCACUCAAAGCCAGGUGGCGAAAAGGUAUUCCGGGAGUAUAGGAAAACCAAAGGUCUUACGGAUAGCACACGGAGGCUGAUGGUCAACAUUAUUGUGGCCGACAUGAUGGAAAGUCAUGGGUACGUGAAUAAUUCAAUGUUAGAAAUGUGUGAUGACCAAAGCUGUAUUAUGUUUAACUGCAUGAUUUUAGUCAAACUUCUAGUACCUGUGUGUUCAUACUGGGGGGGGGGUUUCCCCCGGCACCAUCCAUCAGCUUUAGAUCAAACCAUGUAGCAGGGCUCACUGACGUUUUGUUGAGAAAUGAAUCACUGAUGGUAGCUUUUACCAGAAUUUUUAUUCAAUUUAUUUUUUAUUCAACCUUUUAUUUAACUAGGCAAGUCGCUUCAAAUUCAAAAAACGUUUUCUUUCCUGAGGGAACUUCCUAUGUACUGAUGGGUGGAUGCAUAUAAUACACAUCAAAACAUAACAGUAUUUUAUUUUAAACUAUUUGUCUUUUUUUGUAUUCUUCCUCGAAGGAGGAUCCCCCCAUCAAGUGUCCGCACCAACUACGCCCUGGGGAUUGUGACUUUAUUCCCCUACUUGAAUGAUCCAGAUUCAGAGCAUGGUUAUGUAAGUAUGAACGGAGGACUGAAUUCUCUCAGGGCAUACCAGGCCUACAGUUCCAGGACAUUAAAAUGGCGUUCAUCUUUUUUAAAAACUGUUUUCUUAUUGAUUGACAGGAAAAAUAUUACGAUGCAGCUAGUGGGUCUGGUUACCUGACCUGGAGAAUAAAGACAGUGGGGCGCAACACGUCAUGUAAGACCAAGAAGAGAACCAAGCCCACCUAUCAAAAUGGUCCCAUGGCUCAGCGAAGUUGCCCUUCAGCUGUUGAGCAACUGUCGGGGGAUGAAUGCAGAGAGGCGAUAUCUGUGCUUCAGCAUACAACAACUAAUGAGUCACUGGUUCGAGAGAAGAUGAUGGCGACGUUCCAAUACAGGCAGGAGGUGGUUCAUGAUCCGGAGAAGUCCUCAACUGUCCUAGAUGUCUUCCCCAGAUUCCUUGACACUACAGGCUUGGUAAGACUGUAUGAAUAGAAUUCAUCAUGUUUUAGUGAUUUUAAAAGAAAGUGGAAAGAUAAUUUUGUGAAUUUUUUGUUGUUGUUGAAUGUACUUCAGAUCAACCAAGAUUUCACCAGACUUUUCGGAGAGGUGGUGUCUGGGACAUUUAUGGCGAAGUGGCCAACAUUUUUCAAACCCAGGGUCAUCGCAGAUUGCAAAACCCUUCCCUUCAGCGAACCUGUGGAAGACCUCCUCUCAUCUGCGCAGCAGGAAUCCAAUGAUUAUGGUACUAGUGCAGAAUUCAAAUAUGUUCUUUGGUAUUUCCAAUGACUUUUCUAACUUGACCAUACAAUGUCUGGGUGAAACUGGCAUGUGAGCUUUUACUGAGCAGUUCUUGGUUUUUCACUGAAAAAUUAGGAUGGGAGAGUGACUUGGCAGCCAUUUUGUUGCUUCUGCAUCUCCUACCCCCGACCUCAAAGGGCCCGAAGACCGCAAAGAUCCGUACCUCUCAAGCUGCUGACCAUCUGGUUAGAUUUAUGAAGGUUUGUAUGUUCUGUGAUCUUUGCCUUUCUCCAUUCCUUAGGACAGUACUUGUUAACAAUACACAGCUCCUGUUAGCCUCUCC
rnacentral:lncRNA from 1 species